UUUCUUUAAGUAAAAUCUGCUCCAUGUAAAUAAAUAGCCGCAGUAACUUCACUGUGCUAAGGUAGCAUAAUCAUUAGCCUUUUAAUUAAGGGCUAGAAUGAACGAUUUAACAAUUUAAUUUCUUUUUUUUCAAAAAUAGUUUAAAUUAAAUUAAGGAUAAAAAUGUCCUUAUAUAUCAAAAAGACGAUAAGACCCUAUUGAACUUUACUUAAGUUUAGCUGGGGAAGCUAAUUAAAAACAAUUUUAAUUUUCAUCUUCUAAGUAAUAUCCAUUACCAUUGAUUUGAAUAAGUUACCAUAGGGAUAACAGCGUAAUAUUUUUUUAAAGCUCUUAUUAAAAAAAAAGUUUGCGACCUCGAUGUUGAAUUAAUUUAACUUUAAAACGCAAUUGUAUUAACAGUAGGUCUGU
rnacentral:rRNA from 1 species